AUUGAACGCUGGCGGCAGGCCUAACACAUGCAAGUCGAGCGGAUGAAGGGAGCUUGCUCCUGGAUUCAGCGGCGGACGGGUGAGUAAUGCCUAGGAAUCUGCCUGGUAGUGGGGGAUAACGUCCGGAAACGGGCGCUAAUACCGCAUACGUCCUGAGGGAGAAAGUGGGGGAUCUUCGGACCUCACGCUAUCAGAUGAGCCUAGGUCGGAUUAGCUAGUUGGUGGGGUAAAGGCCUACCAAGGCGACGAUCCGUAACUGGUCUGAGAGGAUGAUCAGUCACACUGGAACUGAGACACGGUCAAGACUCAUACGGGAGGCAGCAGUGGGGAAUAUUGGACAAUGGGCGAAAGACUGAUCCAGACAUGCCGCGUGUGUGAAGAAGGUCUUCGGAUUGUAAAGAACUUUAAGUUGGGAGGAAGGGCAGUAAGUUAAUACCUUGCUGUUUUGACGUUACCAACAGAAUAAGCACCGGCUAACUUCGUG
rnacentral:rRNA from 1 species